rnacentral:rRNA from 1 species
GAUCCUGGCUCAGGAUGAACGCUAGCUACAGGCUUAACACAUGCAAGGUCGAGGGGCAGCAUGAACUUAGCUUGCUAAGUUUGAUGGCGACCGGCGCACGGGUGAGUAACACGUAUCCAACCUUCCGUUUACUCAGGGAUAGCCUUUCGAAAGAAAGAAUUAAUACCUGAUAGUAUGGUGAGAUUGCAUGAUAACACCAUUAAAGAUUUAUUGGUAAACGAUGGGGAUGCGGUUCCAUUAGG